rnacentral:tRNA from 1 species
CGCGGGAGGGACGGAUGGUAAGUCGCAAGGCUCAUAACCUUGAGAAGCGGGUUCAAUUCCCGCUCCCGCAA